UGUUAAAAAAUUCAUCUAUUUGUAUGUUAAACACUAACGAGACUAACAAAAUAAUUAAUCAGUGAGAUGUAACGUGCCAUGUGAACCUCAUGCUAACAUAUAUAGAGACAAGCUUUUAACAAUAAAAUUGGAUGAAUUUUUUUUAACA
rfam:Gossypium raimondii Chr10_contig_238, whole genome shotgun sequence.